CGGGGAGCAGCAGGCGCGAAAACUUUGCAAUGUGCGAAAGCACGACAAGGUUAAUCCGAGUGGUUUCUGCUAAAGAAACCUUUUGCUAGUCCUAGAAACACUAGUGAAUAAGGGGUGGGCAAGUUCUGGUGUCAGCCGCCGCGGUAAAACCAGCACCUCAAGUGGUCAGGAUGAUUAUUGGGCCUAAAGCAUCCGUAGCUCGUUUUGUAAGUUUUCGGUUAAAUCCAUACGCUUAACGUAUGGGCUGCCGGGAAUACUGCAUAACUAGGAAGUGGGAGAGGUAGACGGUACUCGGUAGGAAGGGGUAAAAUCCUUUGAUCUAUUGAUGACCACCUGUGGCGAAGGCGGUCUACCAGAACACGUUCGACGGUGAGGGAUGAAAGCUGGGGGAGCAAACCGGAUUAGAUACCCGGGUAGUCCCAGCUGUAAACUAUGCAAACUCAGUGAUGCAUUGGCUUGUGGCCAAUGCAGUGCUGCAGGGAAGCCGUUAAGUUUGCCGCCUGGGAAGUACGUACGCAAGUAUGAAACUUAAAGGAAUUGGCGGGGGAGC
rnacentral:rRNA from 1 species